UACGGAGGGUGCAAGCGUUAUCCGGAUUUACUGGGUUUAAAGGGUGCGUAGGCGGAUUUGUAAGUCCGAGGUGAAAUCUCCGAGCUUAACUCGGAAACUGCCUUGGAUACUAUAAGUCUUGAAUGACGUUGAGGUUAGCGGAAUAUGUCAUGUAGCGGUGAAAUGCUUAGAUAUGACAUAGAACAUCUAUUGCGAAGUCAGCUAACUAAGCGUAUAUUGUCGCUGAUGCACGAAAGCGUUGGGAUCCAUCAGG
rnacentral:rRNA from 1 species